GAGGAGAGGGGUGGAUGAGGGGAGCCUGCCGCCAUCUUGUUGGGCACCGGAAUAAAGGAAAGCUGUAAGGAGAGACUUGAAGGACA